rnacentral:rRNA from 1 species
CCUACGGGGGGCAGCAGUGAGGAAUAUUGGUCAAUGGACGAGAGUCUGAACCAGCCAAGUAGCGUGAAGGAUGACUGCCCUAUGGGUUGUAAACUUCUUUUAUAUGGGAAUAAAAUGUUCCACGUGUGGGAUUUUGUAUGUACCAUAUGAAUAAGGAUCGGCUAACUCCGUGCCAGCAGCCGCGGUAAUACGGAGGAUGCGAGCGUUAUCCGGAUUUAUUGGGUUUAAAGGGUGCGCAGGCGGCGAGUUAAGUCAGCGGUAAAAUUUCGUGGCUCAACCCCGACGAGCCGUUGAAACUGGCUUGC